GCUGAACCAGCCCUAAUAAUCAACAUUUGGCCACGCCUGGAGCACGCGUCCUCUAUCUUCUAGACAGGCAGCCCUUCCCGGGUCCCGUGACACAGCGGAGGCAAUGGCAGUGCGAGAGUAACAAUUGAUCUGAAGUUCCUUGAUUCUUUGAUUGAAAGCAGCAGAGACCAACACCAGUCUUGAGCCACCAUGUCAAGCAGUCCAACUACCUUGCUGGAGAGACCAUGUGGCCAGAUCCUAGCAACUCCAACCGUCUCAACCAAAGUGCCAGAUCUGAUGGAGCCAUCUUGGAAUGCUGCCUUAAGACCAACGUGCUGUGAGGAAGCCCAAGUUAUCAUAUGGAGAGGCCACAUGGGAGAGAAUAAAGGCAUCACAGCUGACAGCCCCAGCCUAGCUGCCAACUGAAUACACCCAAGACAAGGAUAGAAGAACUGUUUAUUCAACCUACAAAAAUCAUAAAAAAUAAUAAAUCACUGCUAUUUUAAACC
ensembl:lncRNA